CCUACGGGUGGCAGCAGUGAGGAAUAUUGGUCAAUGGACGAGAGUCUGAACCAGCCAAGUAGCGUGAAGGAUGACUGCCCUCUGGGUUGUAAACUUCUUUUAUAUGGGAAUAAAAUGUUCCACGUGUGGGCUUUUGUAUGUGCCCUAUGAAUAAGGGUCGGCUAACACCGUGCCAGCAGCCGCGGUAAUACGGAGGAUCCGAGCGUUAUCCGGAUUUAUUGGGUUUAAAGGGAGCGUAGGUGGAUUUUUAUGUCAGUUGUGAAAGUUUGCGGCUCAACCGUAAAAUUGCAGUUGAAACUGGCAGUCUUGAGUACAGUAGGGGAGGGCGGAAUUCGUGGUGUAGCGGUGAAAUGCUUAGAUAUCACGAAGAACUCCGAUUGCGAAGGCAGCUCACUGGACUGCAACUGACACUGAGGCUCGAAAGUGUGGGUAUCAAACAGGAUUAGAUACCCUUGUAGUC
rnacentral:rRNA from 1 species